AGAGUUUGAUCCUGGCUCAGGAUGAACGCUGGCGGCGUGCUUAACACAUGCAAGUCGAACGAAGCACUUUAUUUGAUUUUCUUCGGAAUUGAUUAUAUUGUGACUGAGUGGCGGACGGGUGAGUAACGCGUGGAUAACCUGCCUCACACAGGGGGAUAACAGUUGGAAACGGCUGCUAAUACCGCAUAAGCGCACAGUGCCGCAUGGCACGGUGCGAAAAGCUCCGGCGGUGUGGGAUGGAUCCGCGUCUGAUUAGCCAGUUGGCGGGGUAACGGCCCACCAAAGCGACGAUCAGUAGCCGGCCUGAGAGGGCGAACGGCCACAUUGGGACUGAGACACGGCCCAGACUCCUACGGGAGGCAGCAGUGGGGAAUAUUGCACAAUGGGGGAAACCCUGAUGCAGCGACGCCGCGUGAGCGAAGAAGUAUUUCGGUAUGUAAAGCUCUAUCAGCAGGGAAGAAAAUGACGGUACCUGACUAAGAAGCUCCGGCUAAAUACGUGCCAGCAGCCGCGGUAAUACGUAUGGAGCAAGCGUUAUCCGGAUUUACUGGGUGUAAAGGGAGCGUAGGCGGUGGUGCAAGUCUGAUGUGAAAACCCGGGGCUCAACCCCGGGACUGCAUUGGAAACUGUGUCACUGGAGUGUCGGAGGGGUAAGUGGAAUUCCUAGUGUAGCGGUGAAAUGCGUAGAUAUUAGGAGGAACACCAGUGGCGAAGGCGGCUUACUGGACGACAACUGACGCUGAGGCUCGAAAGUGUGGGGAGCAAACAGGAUUAGAUACCCUGGUAGUCCACGCCGUAAACGA
rnacentral:rRNA from 1 species